AAUAACUUCAUUUUUUAGUUUUUUGAUACAAUGUUAUGACUAUUCGUCUUAUUUGAAAUAUUUUUGUAAUUAAUAUUUUUAUUGUUACUAGAUGAUAAAAUAUGAAUAGUAUUUUAUGUGUAAGUAAUUUUUUAAGUUUUUAUAUAAAUUUUUUAAAUAAGAUGAAUGAUCAAACGUUGGAUAAAAAAACG
rnacentral:pre_miRNA from 1 species